rnacentral:rRNA from 1 species
GAAUCCCGUCUUUGGCACGGAUGCCUGGUGCUUCUGUGAUGCGCUCUCGAAGAGUCGAGUUGUUUGGGAAUGCAGCUCAAAAUGGGUGGUGAACUCCAUCUAAAGCUAAAUAUUGGCGAGAGACCGAUAGCGAACAAGUACCGUGAGGGAAAGAUGAAAAGCACUUUGGAAAGAGAGUGAAACAGUACGUGAAAUUGUUGAAAGGGGAACGCUUGAAGUCAGUCGCGUCGACCGAGACUCAGCCUCGCCUUGGCUUGGUGUACUUCUCGGCACGACGGGUCAGCAUCAAUUUUGCCCCUCGGAUAAUGGCAGGGGAAAGGUGGCACCUUUACGGGUGUGUUAUAGUCUUCUGUCGCAUGCGAGGGGUGGGAUUGAGGAACUCAGCGCGCACCUCAGUGUCGGGGCUUCGGCCCACGUCACGCGCUUAGGAUGCUGGCGUAAUGGCUUUAAACGACCCGUCUUGAAACACGGACCAAGGAGUCCAACACGCCCGCGAGUGUUCGGGUGGAAAACCCGUGCGCGUAAUGGAAGUGAAAGUUGGGACCUCUGUCGUGGAGGGCACCGACGCCCGGACCAGACCUUCUGUGACGGAUCUGCGGUAGAGCAUGCAUGUUGGGACCCGAAAGAUGGUGAACUAUGCCUGAAUAGGGUGAAGCCAGAGGAAACUCUGGUGGAGGCUCGUAGCGAUUCUGACGUGCAAAUCGAUCGUCAAAUUUGGGUAUAGGGGCGAAAGACUAAUCGAACCAUCUAGUAGCUGGUUCCUGCC